rnacentral:rRNA from 1 species
AUUGAACGCUGGCGGCAUGCCUUACACAUGCAAGUCGAACGGUAACAGGUCUUCGGAUGCUGACGAGUGGCGAACGGGUGAGCAAUACAUCGGAACGUGCCUAGUAGUGGGGGAUAACUACUCGAAAGAGUGGCUAAUACCGCAUGAGAUCUACGGAUGAAAGCAGGGGAUCGCAAGACCUUGUGCUACUAGAGCGGCCGAUGGCAGAUGAGGUAGUUGGUGGGAUAAAAGCUUACCAAGCCGACGAUCUGUAGCUGGUCUGAGAGGACGAUCAGCCACACUGGGACUGAGACACGGCCCAGACUCCUACGGGAGGCAGCAGUGGGGAAUUUUGGACAAUGGGCGAAAGCCUGAUCCAGCAAUGCCGCGUGCAGGAUGAAGGCCUUCGGGUUGUAAACUGCUUUUGUACGGAACGAAAAGCCCUGGGUUAAUACCCUGGGGUCAUGACGGUACCGUAAGAAUAAGCACCGGCUAACUACGUGCCAGCCGCCGCUGUAA